AAAAACAUAGCUCCUAGAAUAUCUAAGGAGUCCCGCCUGCCCAGUGGCCCGAGGCUAAACGGCCGCGGUAUCUUGACCGUGCAAAGGUAGCAUAAUCACUUGUCUUUUAAAUGGAGACUCGUAUGAACGGCGUAACCUUCUUCAACUGUCUCCCCUCCCACCCCUCUAAAUUCUUUUCUGAGUGAAGAAACCCAGAUAAGCCAGAAAGACGAGAAGACCCUGUCGAGCUUUAACCAUUAGGUGAACUUAAACCCCUUUUAGACAUCACCCAAAGGUUUUGGUUGGGGCAACCAUGGAGAAAAUAAACCCUCCAGAGCAAAUAGAAGAAAGUAAUUCACUAUUACUCCUAACUGAGAACCAGGAACUGGUAUUCAGAAAAAGUUACCGCAGGGGUAACAGCGUAAUCCCCUCUAAGAGUCCUUAUUGACGAGGGGGCUUGCGACCUCGAUGUUGGAUUGGGGCUCCCCUAGGGUGCAGAAGCUCUAUAACGGUUAGACUGUUCGUCUAUUAAAGCCCUACAUGAUCUGA
rnacentral:rRNA from 1 species